UAGCUAGACGGCGGGGUAACGGCCCACCGUGGCGACGAUGCGUAGGGGUUCUGAGAGGAAGGUCCCCCACACUGGUACUGAGACACGGACCAGACUCCUACGGGAGGCAGCAGUGAGGAAUAUUGGUCAAUGGGAGAGAUCCUGAACCAGCCAAGCCGCGUGAGGGAAGACGGCCCUAUGGGUUGUAAACCUCUUUUGUCGGAGAACAAAACCCGGGACGAGUCCCGGACUGCGUGUAUCCGAAGAAAAAGCAUCGGCUAACUCCGUGCCAGCAGCCGCGGUAAUACGGAGGAUGCGAGCGUUAUCCGGAUUUAUUGGGUUUAAAGGGUGCGUAGGCGGUCCGUUAAGUCAGCGGUAAAAUUGCGGGGCUCAACCCCGUCGAGCCGUUGAAACUGGCAGACUUGAGUUGGCGAGAAGUACGCGGAAUGCGCGGUGUAGCGGUGAAAUGCAUAGAUAUCGCGCAGAACUCCGAUUGCGAAGGCAGCGUACCGGCGCCACACUGACGCUGAGGCACGAAAGCGUGGGGAUCGAACAGGAUUAGAUACCCUGGUAGUCCACGCAGUAAACGAUGAAUGCUGGUUGUCCGGGUCGA
rnacentral:rRNA from 1 species